rnacentral:lncRNA from 1 species
ACUUCGCAUCGGCCGGGCCCCGCAGACGGGCGGGGGACGCGCGCUCAGCCGCCCCUCCCUCUCCCAGGCCGUCGGGGCCCGGGCGUCGGGCGGGCGCGGGCCUCGGGCCUCCGGCCGGUAGCACGCGCUCAGUAAGCUCUGCACGCUUCCCGCAACCCGGAAAUCGGGCGGAGGCGGCCUGGGCCGGGUGUGGCCGUGGUCCCGACCCUGGCGGGGCUGCCCCUCCGUCCUUGGCCCUGUAACCUUUCGCGGGGUCAGAGGCCAUUGCUGGGACCUUUCCGGGAUUGUUCCCCACCGGGGACUUGCUCUGUGUGACUGGGAGUGGAUCUGCGUGCCCCUGCGUGGAGUGAUGGCUUGGGGUGUAUGGUCCUGUGGCCGAGGGGACUUGCGUCCCGGUAGCGGGGUGCUGGCAUGAGACUGGGACUAAGCGCGCUGUGGUGGUGGUUUUUCAGUGCUCCCGGGCUAAGCUCUGUGGCCCUGUGCGUGUGACCAGUAGUGGAGGUGCCACUGGGCGCGUCCGUCCUUGUCUUGGCGUGUUGUGAGUAUAGGAAGGAGGGGAGGGGAGGACAGACAGAGUUGCUUCCCAUCCCUAGCUUCCCGACCGGACCCGCGCCUCCCGGAGGCUUGGCGCCAGCCAGCCCCGUUUAGUGGCCGGGCCCGGCUCCCCCGCCGUCCCGGGUCUGGCUGGGGUGGGGGCCGCGGCCUCGAUGACCUCGGCCCGCAGCGGCCCGGCCUGUCCCGUCCACUUAGACAAAUUGCGGCUGACAGGCGAGCAGUCUCUCUGGAGUCGCCGCCCGCCCGUCGCGCCUCCCUCCCGACCCAAUUACCCUGCGCAGGGUUGGGCCAAGUGGCUGGGGUGGGGCGGGGGGCCGAGGGGAGAGUGGGAGGCCCGACUUCUUCCCAGCUGGGUUGUGGCCCCCACCUUACUCGGGGACAGGGGGCAGAGCCACUUCUUCCGGUUAGGUCCCAGGAAGUGCCUGGGCCGUACUGCCUGUGUAGCCCUGUCCCCAGUCUUCCCCGCCAACAGAAAAGCCAGACUGGCAGCUCUGUUGAGGGACAGCCCUGGCCCUCAGGUGUCACUCGGUACAAGGUCAUAGGGCCCUGCAACCGAGACACAUCCCCGCCAGACUUUGGACGACUUCCCCAGAGUUUUAGGGAUUCCAUCAUCCUGGGAGCUCCAGACUGUGUUAUGCUCUGGGGCCAAGGUCCGCAGGGUAAAGCCGUCUGCUUGGGACACAAGGAUGUGCAAAAGUGAGGUACACAUAGGUGAACCUGCCAGUGCAUAGAUGUGCAUGGGUGUGAGAGCACGAGUGUGGGUGCCUGGGACCGUGGCAGAGUGAAUAAGCUCCCUGCUAAGUGGCUUGAGAGAGGGGGUGAGGCCGGGGAAAGGACUCCCUAGAGCCAGCUCACCUAUGAGAUGGGGCGGGGCUGGCCUGCAGCACUCACCAGGCUCCUGAUUGGUCUGCAGGGAGCAGCAGGAGCAGCUUGGGGACUCCAGCAUCGCCUCACCUGCCUUCCCUCUCCCUUGCCAAGGAGCUACCUGGCCCGUCUGCUCAGCCUCUGGGCCUCUAACCCGUCUUUUACUUUUUUGACCCAUAGCUUCUCCUUUGCCUGCUUUGGCCUGGCCUUGAUGCUCUUCGCUGGGUGUGCUCCCCUCCCCUCACUACACAGAUGAGCCCAGAGCUGCCGUAUAUUUACCAUAGGCCACACAGCUACUGGUGGCAGAGCUGGGAUGGGACCCAAGGCCACUCCCUAAAAGCUGGUGAUGGCAUUGCCGCCCUGCUAGCUACACCUGCUCAAGCAGUAAGGCAAUACUGCGACUCCAGGGCCCCACCCCUAGGCUCUUGCUUUGAAUACAGGAUGGUCCUAGAGGCUCUUCCCUUUUGCCCCUUGGGUUUGCAGCUCUCAGUCUGCAGGAGGGGGCUGCCUUGUCAAUUACACAGGGACAAAGGAGCAGCUUCAAAGCCAGAGGCCAGGGCUGGAUGCUCUUAGGGGUAGGAAAUGGGGGUGAGUGGGCUCAGAGUCCUGGAUUGUGUGCGUGGGUUAGGGAGGUUCGUGCAGAAUAGAGCCCUCCAAGGGACCUGGCCAAGGGCAUGUGAGGCAGCAAGGAGCAGACAGGGGUCCCAGAUUAGCUAUGUGUCAUCUUAACCACGGGGCAAGGCUUCUCUGGGGCUCAGCCUUCUUCUCUGCAAAUUGAGGACCAAACAGCACUUUUAGGUACCUUAUAGUUAGAGAUUCUCUGAUGUGUGAACACUCAGAAAAACUAGCCCUGAGAAACCCAUUUCCAGUCCUAGACUGACAGCUGCCUGCUCUCGCCUGUUUGUUUCCAGAGGAGCUGACACUCGUGUUUGACAGAGUGCUGUGCACCUGAAUUUACCUUGAGACCACUGGGCCACCGCAUCAAUCGAUCCCAGACAGUGCCCUCUAUCCCUGAGCGGCCACCCCAGCUCCCCUCUGACUCCUCAAAAACCGUGAAGAUUUUUUUGUUCCUCCCUCACAUUGAGAGAAGGUCCACAGUCAUUUGCCUGUCGAGCAGGUAGCAGUGUAAGAAUCAGGGAGGUCACAUGUCUUCCUCAAGGUCACCUGCUCAGGCCACAAUUUAGAUGCAUGUUCUGAUGGCCUCCUGGGUGAUGCCAUCAUGGAGGUCUGCUGGGGCUGCUGGGAGUGAGGCGGAGAGCGCCCUGGGUGUUAUCUCUAGAGGAUAGGAGGCUGGCUGCUCCCGGGCCAGUGGGCAGUACGGUCCCCCACCCUGGGGCCCAGCUCUCACUUCCAGCUGAUUACAGGCUGGGGCAGGGUCUAUAACCUCUCCAAUUAGCCAGGGGCCAGGCCCAAGGCCUCUCUGAUAACCCCAGCUCCAGUGGCAGCCGCCAUGGGGCCAGCUUAUCUGGCCUCUCUUAUCCUCCCCCUUCCCCCACAUACUCAAAGAGUCGCCCUGGCUGCGAGCAGAUGAAUAACCAGAUUGUCCUGCAAGCUCAGCCGGCAAGUCCAGCCCUACACCCACCACUUUCCCUGACUGAAGGAGGCCACAGCUGUUUUGCACCCCCUGGAGGGUGAGGGCUGAGCCAGGGAGGACUCCUGACUCGAAGAUGCCAGCCGCUUCCCUGCGUGGUUGGAGGGCGCUCCGGGCUCUCCGUCUUGGUCCCAUCCACGUGCCCUUGGGUGGGUUCAGAGAGGCCUACCCCUGCCUGCCUCAAGCUCUGGACCCUUCCACAAGGAGCCAGGCCAUGGGCAGUGUGCAAAGGCAGGCUGGUGGCAGCCCCCUCCCUCCCUGGCCCCCUUGGACGGAAACUCGGCUCAGGCUGGAGGUGGGGGUUGUGCCAGGCACCUCGAUGUCUCCAACUGAGCUGGAAGGGGAAGAGCUGCUGCUCGUCCGGCAGCCCCACCGGGCCCGGGCCUCCCUCCGUUCCCAGCAUGCCUCACUCUGGCACGUGAUUCCUCACCCCACAGGUUCCCAGGCAGGAGGGACUGGCUUCAGCCACCCUCGCUUCAGAGCUGAGUGUGACUCAGGUCCCCCUUUGCCCAGCAUGCCCAACGGGUCGGGGAGGGGCACUGGAGCUGUCCCUGCUCGGGCUGGACGGCUGGAUGGGAAGCUCUGCUUGUUUGUGAACGUAACUCUUCUGUGGCUGUCACAUUAAACGUCACUCCAAAC